rnacentral:rRNA from 1 species
UACGUAGGGGGCAAGCGUUGUCCGGAAUCAUUGGGCGUAAAGAGCGCGUAGGCGGCCCGACAAGUCCGCUGUGAAAGUCAAGGGCUCAACCCUUGAAUGCCGGUGGAUACUGUCGGGCUAGAGUCCGGAAGAGGCGAGUGGAAUUCCUGGUGUAGCGGUGAAAUGCGCAGAUAUCAGGAGGAACACCGAUGGCGAAGGCAGCUCGCUGGGACGGUACUGACGCUGAGGCGCGAAAGCGUGGGGAGCAAACAGG